CCUACGGGUGGCAGCAGUGAGGAAUAUUGGUCAAUGGACGAGAGUCUGAACCAGCCAAGUAGCGUGAAGGAUGACUGCCCUAUGGGUUGUAAACUUCUUUUAUAUGGGAAUAAAAUGUUCCACGUGUGGGAUUUUGUAUGUACCAUAUGAAUAAGGAUCGGCUAACUCCGUGCCAGCAGCCGCGGUAAUACGGAGGAUCCGAGCGUUAUCCGGAUUUAUUGGGUUUAAAGGGAGCGUAGGUGGAUUGUUAAGUCAGUUGUGAAAGUUUGCGGCUCAACCGUAAAAUUGCAGUUGAAACUGGCAGUCUUGAGUACAGUAGAGGUGGGCGGAAUUCGUGGUGUAGCGGUGAAAUGCUUAGAUAUCACGAAGAACGCCGAUUGCGAAGGCAGUUCACUGGACUGCAACUGACACUGAGGCUCGAAAGUGUGGGUAUCAAACAGGAUUAGAUACCCUAGUAGUC
rnacentral:rRNA from 1 species